GGGUAGGCAGGGUCAGGUAUGGUAUGGGUCUCAGCAGAAGAAGAAGGUAGGUCGACCCGCUCUCCGUGCUCUAGGCUAGGCUAGGCUAGGCGGCCUUGGGAUCGGUCCAGGUGGUGGUACCGCCGCUGGGCGAGCGAGGAGGAGACGCGGCGGCAGGAGGAGCGGCGGGAGAGGACGUGGAAGCGGCGGCUGCGCGGGAAGGAGCAGCGCGUGUUCUUCCACCGGGAGAGGGCGGGGUUCGGGCCGCAGCUCGCGGAGCGGCAGAGGGAGCUGGAGAUGUUGGUCCCUAGGCGUUGACGUAUACUACACCGGUAAUUACUACUGAGCACCGGUUUCCUUCGUAAACUUGAACAGAGACCUCUCCAGAGUUUCUGAAACCUUUCCGAACUUGGACCACGGUGACGAAGCGUGCGCAAACAUAACCUCUCGUUUUGUGUCCCGUCCAAGGUUCGAAGUGGACGACAAUAGUUCAUGGCACAACGGUGUUUCCGACGUGAAGUCCUCCGGAUGAGUUGAGGGUAGGAGGGGGACCUGUAAGAACGACUUUCUGGAGGUCACUUCUUCAAACUUACCCGAUUCUUUGAACAACGCUUCAUACCUCGUGACCACAGGCAACAAAGGAAGCAAGACCCCAAGUAGAUGGACCAGCGCUCGGGUAGCUUUAGACGGCCGAGUUUCAGACCGUUCUUCUCCGCGACUAGAUAGUAGGUACCAAGUGGCAAAACCAUCGACCGGCAAACGGACCUCUCUGGGAACUAUCGGCUCAGACUCCAAUGUUGUGGGGGUACCUGACAUUACAUUACCUCGCUGAUCGUCGUUUUAACUGUGAUAUUAAAACCAAUUAAAGGCAAAACACAACAGUCGCUGAAUUGGACCUCCUCAUCUAAACCACUUUGAAUCUUUGUGAAAACUAAGACAUGACACACCUCCUGGUUACACCAACACGUAGGUUAGUAU
rnacentral:rRNA from 1 species